GAUGAACGCUGGCGGCGUGCCUAAUACAUGCAAGUCGAGCGAACGGACGAGAAGCUUGCUUCUCUGAUGUUAGCGGCGGACGGGUGAGUAACACGUGGAUAACCUACCUAUAAGACUGGGAUAACUUCGGGAAACCGGAGCUAAUACCGGAUAAUAUUUUGAACCGCAUGGUUCAAAAGUGAAAGACGGUCUUGCUGUCACUUAUAGAUGGAUCCGCGCUGCAUUUGCUAGUUGGUAAGGUAACGGCUUACCAAGGCAACGAUGCAUAGCCGACCUGAGAGGGUGAUCGGCCACACUGGAACUGAGACACGGUCCAGACUCCUACGGGAGGCAGCAGUAGGGAAUCUUCCGCAAUGGGCGAAAGCCUGACGGAGCAACGCCGCGUGAGUGAUGAAGGUCUUCGGAUCGUAAAACUCUGUUAUUAGGGAAGAACAUAUGUGUAAGUAACUGUGCACAUCUUGACGGUACCUAAUCAGAAAGCCACGGCUAACUACGUG
rnacentral:rRNA from 1 species